UUCCGCUCCCAUUCAAUGGCAUUGCUGCUACUGAGAGCUCUUUCUGUUUCCGUUGCACCACCACCACCACCACCACCACCUCUCCCUUUCUUUCACUGCCUCUAUCAUCAUCACCACCCCCAUCUUUUUAACAAACACUCCCUAAAAAAACACAAAUACCAACAGCGACAGCAACAUCAAGAAACCCUCCAAACCUUUUUCUUUUCUUCCAUACAUAUAUAAACAUGUGUGAUUUUCCUUAAUUAUAUCAUAUCAUUGUUAUUAUUCCCCUUGUUUGUAAUACAAGCUUCUCAACAUGAGAAAACAUGGCCUUCUCUUCCUCUGCUUUCUCUUUACAGGCUUGCACGAAUCUUACUGCAAUGUAUUGCAUGCUGCUGAUUUUAGGAGUCAUAGCCCACCACUACCACGGCAUCUUUUGUUGUAUCAGCAAGGUUCCGCCCUAAUGGAGGAAAAGGCAACUGUUCUUUUGCCCGAUACUUCUCCCAAUGUGUCACCUCAACCCUUUAUUCCUCUUCUAGCACCUUCACCACUUGCAUCUUUUAAGAAUAAUACUAUACCAAGGUUAUCAGGACUUUGUACAUUAAAUUUUUCUGCUGUUGAAACUAUGAUGAGCACGACAGCAGUUGACUGCUGGGCUUUCUUUGCUCCUUUUCUGGCCAAUGUAAUUUGCUGCCCGCAGUUGCAUGCCACUCUUGUGAUUCUCAUUGGGCAAUCCAGUAAAGAUACUGGGACCCUUGCUUUGGACGUGGAUCAGGCCAAACACUGCCUGGCGGAUGUGCAGAAGAUUCUGGCAGGCCAGGGAGCAAAUGAACGUCUUCAGAGGAUUUGCUCAAUUCAUCCAUCGAACCUCACAGAAGGCUCUUGUCCUGUCAAAGAUGUUAAUGAGUUUGAGAGUGUUGUGGAUUCAUCUAAGCUUUUGGCUGCCUGCGAGAAAGUCGAUCCUGUGAAUGAGUGUUGUAGCCAAAUUUGCCAGAAUGCUAUAUUUGAAGCUGCAAGAGAAAUCGCUUUGAAAGAUGGUGGUCUCUCAGGCAUGAGUGGUAUCCGUGUAUUGCCUGGGUACUCAUCUAGACUUGAUGAUUGUAAAAGCAUUGUCCUGAGAUGGCUUGCAAGUAGACUCGAUUCACUUUCUGCGAAGCAAUUCCUUAGGCGGAUUUCUAAUUGCAACUUGAAUAAAGCUUGUCCACUGGUUUUCCCUGACACUAAAAAUGUUUCGAAAUACUGUCGGAAUGGGAUCCGUAACAAGACAAUUUGCUGCUAUGCUAUGGAGAAUUACAUAUCUCACCUACAAAAGCAGAGUUUCAUAACCAAUUUGCAAGCUUUGGAUUGUGCUGCAUCGCUUGGUUUGCAGUUGCAGGCAGUGAAUAUUACCAAAAAUGUUUAUGGCCUAUGUCAUAUAAGCCUCAAGGAUUUUUCUCUCCAAGUUGGAUCGCAAGAAUCUGGAUGCCUCCUGCCAAGCUUGCCUUCAGAUGCAACAUUUGACCAAUCUUCAGGAAUCAGCUUCACUUGUGACCUGAACGACAACAUAGCAGCUCCUUGGCCAUCUGCAUCUCAACAAGUCACUGUAUCUUCCUGCAAUAAGAGCAUCCCUUGCAUUCACUUCAUGGUAGUAUCUUAGCAUGGUUAAUAGUGCAGCGAUUAAAUUGCCUGCACUUCCAGCUGCAACACCUUCACCGAGUGGACAAAACUUAAAAGAUAUGAUAUUGCCUAUGCUUUUUGCCUCCUGGAUGGUCGCUACCAUGCUGAUGUAAUCUAGAUUCGCUCCGUGCUUGGUCCUGUAAUUACAAGGGGAUUCUAUCCCUCCCACGAUCCAAAUCAGCGGUUUUGAAACACGGUAUGUACUUCAUCACAGCAAUCCACGAUCCAAAUCGGCCGUUUUGAAACAUGGCAUGGCAUGUACUUCAUCACAGCAAUCCACGAUCCAAAUCAGCUGUUUUGAAAAAUGGUAUGUACUUCAUCACAGAAAUCCACGAUCCAAAUCGGCCGUUUUGAAACACGGUAUGUCAUCACAGCAAUCAUUCCAUAGUUCAUGCUAGUUAUGUAAUAAUUAUUGUUUUUUGUAAAGAAAUUCUUCCCCGAAUGAGGAAGGGCAUGUGUAAGUAGAACUAAGGCUUUUCCUCAAA